rnacentral:tRNA from 1 species
UCCCUUGUGGCUCAGCUGGUAAAGAAUCUGCCUACAAAGCAGGAGACCUGGGUUCGAUCCCUGGGUUGGGAA